rnacentral:rRNA from 1 species
CGAACGCUGGCGGCGUGCUUAACACAUGCAAGUCGAACGGAAAGGCCCUGCUUUUGUGGGGUGCUCGAGUGGCGAACGGGUGAGUAACACGUGAGUAACCUGCCCUUGACUUUGGGAUAACUUCAGGAAACUGGGGCUAAUACCGGAUAGGAGCUCCUGCUGCAUGGUGGGGGUUGGAAAGUUUCGGCGGUUGGGGAUGGACUCGCGGCUUAUCAGCUUGUUGGUGGGGUAGUGGCUUACCAAGGCUUUGACGGGUAGCCGGCCUGAGAGGGUGACCGGCCACAUUGGGACUGAGAUACGGCCCAGACUCCUAUGGGAGGCAGCAGUGGGGAAUAUUGCACAAUGGGCGGAAGCCUGAUGCAGCAACGCCGCGUGCGGGAUGACGGCCUUCGGGUUGUAAACCGCUUUCGCCUGUGACGAAGCGUGAGUGACGGUAAUGGGUAAAGAAGCACCGGCUAACUACGUG